UACGUGGCUUCGAAUAGUAGCAGUCUUGGAUACGAGUGUGAAUGCGAGAAAGGGUGGACACAAUCACGCCCACACGAUGGCAACUCCUUCAAAUUCAUGCCUUGCGUUGUUCCCGACUGUCAGUUCUUUCUAAUCUCCCCAGAUAAUUAGAUUUUGUUUACUGUCGUUUAGGUUCUUCAUUGUUUAUUUGUUUAUCUCAAUGUGCAGUCAAUUGCAGCGGUGAUAAAGCUCCUGCUCCUUCACCCAGCCACAACAAAUCAAGCUUUAUUGAUCCCUGCUCGUGGACUAACUGUGGAUGGGGCACGUGCAAGAAGACGUCCAUGCUGAGUGUAACGAGGGCUAUACAACUUGCUCAAUUCCACUUCUUUCCCAUGCUACAAAAAACGUGUCAUUGGAGGGGAGAGCCCGAAUUCAGGAAACAACACGACGAACUCAUCGGAUCCGAGCCCUCAACAAAGCUCGAGUGGCGUUGCUGACAGCGCUUCGAGCUUUAUGACCUGCAGUUGGUUGAUUGCCAUGGUUGCAAUGUCAGCUCCAUUUUUGUGGAACUACUGUUGAAAGAGGCAUCUAUCCUAUGAUUUAUUAUCAUAGUACUUAUAAUUACAACUAGUGUGGAGUAGGAAGUUUGGGGGAGUGGCUGCCUAUAAAAGGAGCUCACCCCGCACUUUGUAAAACAUCACAAAUUUUUAUUCUCUUCUCCAUCUAUAUAUAAGUGGGCACCGCAGAGGGUGCUUGGAGAUGUAGGCAAUUUCGCCGAACUCCGUU